rnacentral:rRNA from 1 species
GAUAAACGCUGGCGGCGCACAUAAGACAUGCAAGUCGAACGGACUUAACUCAUUCUUUUAGAUUGAGAGCGGUUAGUGGCGGACUGGUGAGUAACACGUAAGCAACCUGCCUAUUAGAGGGGAAUAACAGUGAGAAAUCAUUGCUAAUACCGCAUGAUGCAGUUGUGUCGCAUGACACUGACUGCCAAAGAUUUAUCGCUCUGAGAUGGCCUCGCGUCUGAUUAGCUAGUUGGCGGGGUAACGGCCCACCAAGGCGACGAUCAGUAGCCGGACUGAGAGGUUGACCGGCCACAUUGGGACUGAGACACGGGCCCAG